rnacentral:rRNA from 1 species
UACGUAGGGUGCAAGCGUUAAUCGGAAUUACUGGGCGUAAAGCGUGCGUAGGCGGUGAGUUAAGUCUGAUGUGAAAUCCCCGGGCUCAACCUGGGAAUGGCAUUGGAUACUGGCUCGCUAGAGUACGGUAGAGGGUGGUGGAAUUCCCGGUGUAGCAGUGAAAUGCGUAGAGAUCGGGAGGAACAUCUGUGGCGAAGGCGGCCACCUGGACCAGUACUGACGCUGAGGCACGAAAGCGUGGGGAGCAAACAGG